AGUGAACGCUGGCGGUAGGCCUAACACAUGCAAGUCGAACGGCAGCACAGUAAGAGCUUGCUCUUACGGGUGGCGAGUGGCGGACGGGUGAGGAAUACAUCGGAAUCUACUUUUUCGUGGGGGAUAACGUAGGGAAACUUACGCUAAUACCGCAUACGACCUACGGGUGAAAGCAGGGGAUCUUCGGACCUUGCGCGAUUGAAUGAGCCGAUGUCGGAUUAGCUAGUUGGCGGGGUAAAGGCCCACCAAGGCGACGAUCCGUAGCUGGUCUGAGAGGAUGAUCAGCCACACUGGAACUGAGACACGGUCCAGACUCCUACGGGAGGCAGCAGUGGGGUAUAUUGGACAAUGGGCGCAAGCCUGAUCCAGCCAUACCGCGUGGGUGAAGAAGGCCUUCGGGUUGUAAAGCCCUUUUGUUGGGAAAGAAAAGCAGCAGGUUAAUACCCCGCUGUUCUGACGGUACCCAAAGAAUAAGCACCGGCUAACUUCG
rnacentral:rRNA from 1 species